UUCUCGCAGGGCGCGGGAUCGAUCGCUGGGCACUGGAUGUCGAGCGUCUGUCCGGUUUCCGCCCGCUUCUGCCUCCCGAAUGGUCGGCGAACGGACGCGAGGACGACUAGGGAUUUUCGCCUUUGGCGGUUCCUGGGCACAGACGGCGGGCCUGUCCGCCCGGUCGGUUCGCCGGCCUUGGCAGGCGCUAGAGCUUUU
rnacentral:sRNA from 1 species